UACGUAGGGUGCGAGCGUUGUCCGGAAUUAUUGGGCGUAAAGAGCUCGUAGGCGGUCUGUCGCGUCGAUCGUGAAAACUUGGGGCUUAACCCUGAGCUUGCGGUCGAUACGGGCAUGACUGGAGUUCGGCAGGGGAGACUGGAAUUCCUGGUGUAGCGGUGAAAUGCGCAGAUAUCAGGAGGAACACCGGUGGCGAAGGCGGGUCUCUGGACAGUUCCUGACGCUGAGGCACGAAGGCCAGGGGAGCAAACGGG
rnacentral:rRNA from 1 species